rnacentral:lncRNA from 1 species
CACAGCUGGAACUAUUGGAACAUUCCAGGAGAUGAAAACAAAGAUUCCCUCCUCCUUCCCUUCCAUCUUACUGAGGACCCAUCAGUCACCCUUGUGAGUGCACUUUAGCCAUAGCAAGAGCAAGAUCAGAGAGAAAUAAGGACUUAUGACCAUUAGACCAGGAGACAGGAAGCGAUGGUUCUGGAAGGGGCUCUGUUACUAACUUUGGAAUUCAACUGUCCAGAUAGAAAGGUGGACAUGGAAAAAUUGGGCUUUGCAAAUGGUCACCCAAUUCUUGCCUUCCUGGUCUCCAGAUCACCCUUCCUAUACCGCCACUCUGGAGAAAGAAGUACAGAACGCUAACAAGGAUGGCUUGGAGUUGCAGUGGUCACCUCAGAUCUUAAGGUCACUUUGGAGAUGGAACCCCUGUGACUAGGAAUGGCAGAACAGAAAGGUAGAAAGAGAUUGAGUCCUGGGGAUGUGGCAGAGCCACCAUCCUAGCCCCGUACUGCGUACUUCUGGACUUCCUUUAAAUUGAGAGAAACAUGUUCCUACCAUAUUUAACCAUUUGGUGUUCUAAACCCCAUUCCUAGCUCUGGAAUGCCCUGGCAGAGCUGGUGCUGGCUGGGACCCCAGUGGUCCUUGGUGACCUUGCUCAGCAGUGCUCUUUCCACAAAUGACCCCACUACUAUCAUGUGCAGAACUAUCUUGGUGUGUGUGUGUGCAUGAGCAGACAUCCACAGCCAAGUAAUUUUCAAAGCUGUCAGCUCUGCUCUCCUGUAGCCUCCUGCUCCCCACUGCCUUCUCAUUUCCACCAGAGGAAGGUGAGGCUGCUGGUGAGGAGCUUUUUCCUUUUCCCUUUUCUGAAUUGUUUACUAUAUUAAACACUCAAUAUCCACUGCCCAGAAUAUUAUUAUGCUAAUAUUUCUCUGAUUUAUUUUUACUUUUAUUUGUAAUUAAAGAAAUAAAACACUAUAGGUACUAUCGCACCCUUUUUAUCCUUUCUGUGAGCCUAUUCUACUCCUUCUUCCAAAAAGGCAUUCUCUUGAACUUGCAUGCAUUCUGUGUUUUUAUGCUUCUAUUAUGCAUAUGUCUGAAUCCAUACGUGAUUGAUAACAUUGUUUUAUAUGUUUUAAAUAUGUGUGUAAAUGGUAUAUUAAUGUGGUUUGAUUUUUUACACAGACCUUGGAUUUUUUCAAGAUCAUCCUUCUUGAUGCCUGCAUCUAGCUCACGGGAACUCACUGCUGUGCCUGUACAGUGUUUUCCCAUUGCUCUAUUGAUGAACAUUUAAAUUGUUUUCCAAUUUUCAAUAUUGUAAAUAAUGCAAUAAUAAACAUCCUCUUAC